rnacentral:rRNA from 1 species
GAUCAUGGCUCAGGAUGAACGCUAGCGACAGGCCUAACACAUGCAAGUCGAGGGGCAGCGCGGAGUAGCAAUACGUUGGCGGCGACCGGCGCACGGGUGAGUAACACGUAUGCAACCAACCCAUAACAGGGGGAUAACCCGGAGAAAUCCGGACUAAUACCGCAUAAGACCACGAUAUCGCAUGAUAUAGAGGUCAAAUAUUUAUAGGUUAUGGACGGCAUGCGUCUGAUUAGCUGGUUGGCGGGUAACGGCCCACCAAGGCAUCGAUCAGUAGGGUUCUGAGAGGAAGGUCCCCCACAUUGGAACUGAAACACGGUCCAAACUCCUACGGGAGGCAGCAGUGAGGAAUAUUGGUCAAUGGGCGAAAGCCUGAACCAGCCAUGUCGCGUGGAAAAGGAUGAAGGUCCUAUGGAUUGUAAACUUCUUUUGCAGGAGGGUAAAGUGAGCUACGUGUAGUUCAUUGCAAGUACCCUGCGAAUAAGCAUCGGCUAACUCCGUGCCAGCCGCCGC